UACGUAGGGUGCGAGCGUUAAUCGGAAUUACUGGGCGUAAAGCGUGCGCAGGCGGUUUUGUAAGCCAGAUGUGAAAUCCCCGGGCUUAACCUGGGAAUGGCAUUUGGGACUGCAAGGCUGGAGUGUGGCAGAGGAGACGUGGAAUUCCCGGUGUAGCAGUGAAAUGCGUAGAUAUCGGGAGGAAUACCGAUGGCGAAGGCAGGUCUCUGGGCUGACACUGACGCUCAUGCACGAAAGCGUGGGGAGCAAACAGGA
rnacentral:rRNA from 1 species